AUGUCGCGCCUCUUCAUCGCGUGCCUCUUUGCACGUCAGGUCUGACACGAAAUUUUCGCCUGGCAAUGACAGACUUGCCGUCCACCCGAGCCUGGUGGCGCCUUCGGGAGCUGGUGGCAUUUUACAAAGUAGGCCACCCCAAAACUGCUGCGCAAAGGACUUGCAUCUACUGCCCUGCUGAUUCCCUGGAUGAUCUGGAAAUAGAGGUUCGCGUGUGUCUUCGACGGCGACCUCCCGUCUGCCCGCGACACCACUGCGCGUAUCAAAGAGGAAGCCACACUUUGGUCUAGAGCCGGAGCCCUCGGCCUUUGA
rnacentral:rRNA from 1 species